GAUCUCCCAUGAUGCCUUGCACUGGACUCUGAAUCUAUGUGGUGACGCAAGUGCCUCUGUCCUGACAAGGCCUGAGGAGAUU